AGCUAUAUGGCAACCAAGAGCCAGGAUCCUUCAACCGAGUUGCACAGCAAGGAAUGAAAGGGAAUAGAGCAGGGAGAGGAGGCAGGGGAAGACCUUCUGGCAGAGAGAGUCAACAGGGUGGAAUUCCAUUGCCAAUGAUAGGAUCACCUUUUGGACCUCUAGGAAUUCCUCCGCCAGGACCAAUGCAGCCACUCACUCCUGGCAUGUCACCUGGUCCAGGCCCACCAGUGUCUCCAGG
rnacentral:misc_RNA from 1 species